GAUGAACGCUGGCGGCGUGCCUAAUACAUGCAAGUCGAGCGAACAGACGAGGAGCUUGCUCCUCUGACGUUAGCGGCGGACGGGUGAGUAACACGUGGAUAACCUACCUAUAAGACUGGGAUAACUUCGGGAAACCGGAGCUAAUACCGGAUAACAUGUUGAACCGCAUGGUUUAACAGUGAAAGACGGUCUUGCUGUCACUUAUAGAUGGAUCCGCGCCGCAUUAGCUAGUUGGUAAGGUAACGGCUUACCAAGGCAACGAUGCGUAGCCGACCUGAGAGGGUGAUCGGCCACACUGGAACUGAGACACGGUCCAGACCCCUACGGGAGGCAGCAGUAGGGAAUCUUCCGCAAUGGGCGAAAGCCUGACGGAGCAACGCCGCGUGAGUGAAGAAGGUCUUCGGAUCGUAAAACUCUGUUAUUAGGGAAGAACAAAUGUGUAAGUAACUAUGCACGUCUUGACGGUACCUAAUCAGAAAGCCACGGCUAACUACGUG
rnacentral:rRNA from 1 species